UACGGAGGGUGCAAGCGUUAUCCGGAUUCACUGGGUUUAAAGGGUGCGUAGGUGGGAAUGUAAGUCAGUGGUGAAAUCUCCGUGCUUAACAUGGAAACUGCCAUUGAUACUAUGUUUCUUGAAUUUUCUGGAGGUCAGCGGAAUAUGUCAUGUAGCGGUGAAAUGCUUAGAUAUGACCCAGAACACCGAUUGCGAAGGCAGGCUACUACGACUUGAUUGACACUGAGGCACGAGAGCAUGGGUAGCGAACAGG
rnacentral:rRNA from 1 species